UCGACUCGAGAGACUCUACUAUAUAACGAGGAACACACCCAACACCCUCUGACUCUGUCGUUUUCUCUCACCCAAACUCAAAACUAAAACCCAUUUUCUUCUCCAAAACCUUCGACUUUCUCCAACCCAAACGCGCUUCCCUUCGCUCUCUCACCCAUUUUUUCUAAUCUUCUCGCACUCUCCAAUUCCGACACUCCCGUGUGGUAAUUGAUGAAGGAGGUUGAUAAGGGGCGAAAUUUGGUUCUGUAGGUGUUUGAAGGAACCAUAUAUCACAAGAAGGUUAUGGUUUGCUGUUACACGCUUUAAUUUGCAGUGUGACAUGGAGGCUCAAAUUCAUCAACUUGAACAGGAAGCUUACUCUGCUGUCUUGCGUGCUUUCAAAGCUCAGUCUGAUACUCUUACAUGGGAGAAGGAAGAUUUGAUAACUGAACUUAGAAAAGAGUUGAGGGUUUCAGAUGAUGAACACAGAGAGCUUCUUACCAGGGUUAAUUCUGAUGAAAUAAUUCACUGCAUUAGGUUUGGGAAUUAUUUGAAUAGUUGCAAUAGUUCCGAAGAACAUUACUUUUGGCCAUUUUUCUGUUUCUUUUAUAAUGUUAUGUGAUUGAAAAUUCAAUCAGGGAGUGGAGAUAAACUGGUUGUUACCAACCUGCAAGGCGUAGAACACUUUAUACGCGUUAUUUGUUUUAAUAAAGUCUACUAUUGAUA